GACGAACGCUGGCGGCGCGCCUAACACAUGCAAGUCGAACGAGCGAGAGAGAGCUUGCUUUCUCAAGCGAGUGGCGAACGGGUGAGUAACGCGUGAGGAACCUGCCUCAAAGAGGGGGACAACAGUUGGAAACGACUGCUAAUACCGCAUAAGCCCACGACCCGGCAUCGGGUAGAGGGAAAAGGAGCAAUCCGCUUUGAGAUGGCCUCGCGUCCGAUUAGCUAGUUGGUGAGGUAACGGCCCACCAAGGCGACGAUCGGUAGCCGGACUGAGAGGUUGAACGGCCACAUUGGGACUGAGACACGGCCCAGACUCCUACGGGAGGCAGCAGUGGGGAAUAUUGCACAAUGGGGGAAACCCUGAUGCAGCGACGCCGCGUGGAGGAAGAAGGUCUUCGGAUUGUAAACUCCUGUUGUUGAGGAAGAUAAUGACGGUACUCAACAAGGAAGUGACGGCUAACUACGU
rnacentral:rRNA from 1 species